GUAAAGAUGUUUAAUUCUGCCGUUAGAAAAGUGGGAAGAAGUAAAUAUACCAAAUUGACAUUUCGUUUUUAUUCAAAUGGACAAGUCAGAAGUACCAUAGACAUUGUAAUUAUGCAAUUAAAUGGCCUUGCCAAAAAUAACCAUUUGCUACAGAAAAGUUCAUAUGCGACAGCCUAAAGAACAUUAAGGUCAAAAUUUACCAGAACCAGUCUUGCCCCUUCUUACCUACUAUUAUUCUGCUCUCAAUUUCUUCAUCAGAAAACUGAAUUUUGCAUCUGCAUCACAUAUUUUCUUUCCUCUACAGGUCCUCUCUCAGAUGCGUGGGCCUCGGUGAACCUCGACCACCCGGCGACAUUUGGGACACUGGCCAUGGACCUAGAGCUCAAGAAGACAAUCAUGGACGAUCUCGAGAGGUUCGUGAGGAGGAAAGAGUACUAUAGGAGAGUAGGCAAGGCGUGGAAGAGAGGGUACUUAUUGUAUGGACCCCCCGGCACAGGGAAAUCAAGCCUGAUUGCGGCGAUGGCCAAUUACUUGAACUUCGACAUAUACGAUCUAGAGCUGAGCGGGCUCCGGAGCAAUGCGGAGCUCAGGAGACUGCUUGUUGCCACCGCGAAUCACUCCAUAUUGGUGGUCGAGGACAUCGAUUGCACCAUUGAGUUGCAAGAGAGGAAAUCCGAAACCCGAGCCGCGCGCAUGAAUAUGAUGUCCACUGACUAUCCACGAGAAGAUGUACAGUUUUUUUUUUUCUUUUUGGCUUUCAUUUUUGGUACAAGGUUAACUCCAGUUGCAUGCUAUGCAUGUGAUUUGUUCUUGACAUUUAACUUGUCUGUUGCUACGAUAUUAAUUUUUGUAUCAUGGAACAGCUGACGCUGUCUGGAUUCCUCAACUUCAUUGAUGGGCUUUGGUCGAGCUGUGGUGAUGAGCGGAUCAUAAUCUUCACUACCAACCACAAGGAGAAACUAGACUCAGCCCUAUUGCGCCCAGGGCGCAUGGAUGUGCACGUUCACAUGUCCUAUUGCACCCCCUGUGGAUUCAAGCUUCUUGCUUCUAAUUAUCUCGGGAUUGAUCACCACGAGCUCUUUGAUCAAAUCGAGAGUUCGAUCACGGCAGCAAGAGUCACUCCAGCCGAAGUAGCAGAGCAGUUGAUGAAGAGCGAUGAACCAGAGGUCGCUCUCAAGGACUUGGUUUCCUUCCUCGCUGAUCACAAGAGGAAAGAAACUGAAGAAGUCAUAAAGGAGAAAGUUUGCCAGUGCCAGUUGGUUGAAGAAAAUGGAGGAACUGAAGAGGAAAGUGAUAAGUGCGAAAUAAUUGAAGAAUAACCAAUACAUAUCGACUAUGUUGAUAUGUUUUGAUCGAUUUUAAUUUAGAUUAUCAUAAAGAAAGUGAUCAUUGAAUAUAAAGUAAUUGUAUGAAGUCACUGCAUGGUCAUCCAAAUGAUUAAUUAUGUGAGUCAAAUGGUAAAAUUAGAUGGUCAAUGGUUUAGACGAACUCGAUUUACAUGGCUUGUCAACCAUGCGAUCUUUUCAUGAUCGAAUAUUCAAAUCAUGCUAAUAUUAUAAUUUGCUUUAUAUAGUUAUAUCACGUCAAGGACACAUAAUGUGGCAUACUAGUUUUCUCAUGGUUUGGACCUUCCACGGAAUCUCGAAUAUGCUUGGGUUGGCUGAAAGCAUUAUUUGUCUGAGCUUGGAUUCUAAUGCAAUUGGACUCAACCUAAUUCUCGAUGGGUUCCUAGUCAUCCGUUGCAAGAGUCAUCUCAUGGGUACAUGCUUCUUUUCCUAGGAACAUGACAAGUUUCGCAAAAGCAGAACGAGCUAGGAAAGGUUCCCUACUAGCAUCGGUCGUAUUCGCAUCGUGCAGUGGGAUUUAAGGAGAGAGCUUUAAGUAGAUCAUCCUAAAACGGAGCUAACUUACUUCGAGAUGCGACCAUUGAAUAAGAUAAAUGCACGGGAUCGGUCGAUCUGAUUUGAAUAUUUGCCGCCACUCCGCAAAAGGAAAAGGCCAAGACCGGCGCCCCGUCGGGGCAAGAACGAAAGCCUACCAAGGCUUGGACUAGGAACACUCCAGGCCUCUGAACCAGCUCAGUCAACAAGGAAUCCAUGCAUUUGUAGAGAGUUCAUUGUUGAUCUCCCAUUCACAUCCCAAAAAAUUCUACAAUAACGGGUCGAUCUCCAAUUCUCUUAUUCAUCGCCACUUUCAUCUCCUGAUUUCCUCCGGUCAUAUACCGUCUGUCCCCCAUAGAUUGAACUGAAAAGAGCGGCGACCCCUGCUCCGAACGACUCCAACAUCGCGGUGGCCAAGGCUGUGCUGUCUGCCGCGGCCUCCGUGAUGGUGGUGCAGUCGGUGGUUCGACCUUCGUCCCUCCCGAGUUCCAGGGCUUCCUCUUCUCUAAGAUCCAUGGCUUCUUGUCUCGCUUCUGCAACGAAAUGACCAUGGUCAUCGAACAGUACGAUGGGUACGGACAAAACGACCUCUUCGGGACGGCCCAGAUUCUCCUGGCCACCAAGCAAUCCCUUUCGAUGCAGCGCGUGCGACUGACCAAGUCCCCGAAGGAGAACCACUUCACUCUGGCUAUGGACCGGAAUCAAAUGCUGGUGGAUACGUUUCACGGGGUCAAACUCAAGUGGAUUUUCGUGUCGAGACAGGUCGACUUGGGCCACCAAGUCCAUCAAGGCUCCACGGUUCAGCACGAAGUUCAGUACUUCGAGCUUAGAUUUCACAAGAAACACAGGGAGAUCGUGGUCAAAUCCUAUGUGUCUUUCCUCAUCGACAAGGCCAAGUCCAUAAAGCAGGGGAAGAAGACGCUGAAGCUAUGCACUCCGGGCUCCGACGGCAAUUAUCUUUAACUAUGUUCAAUUCUACUAUUAGAAUUUAGGAGUGAAAAGCUGUGAUGCUAAAUUCACAAAAACUUCGUUCAAUCGGACUAAGUCGGAAGUAUCAUAUAAAGUCCGGCCAAAAAUAAGUACUAGCUACAUAAAAGUUAAUCAGUAAAAUCCUAAAGCACAUUAAGAUCAAAAUUCACUCGAACCAGCUCGCACCUUCUUAUCUAUGAUUAUGCGCUCAAUUUCUUCAGCAGGAGACCGAAUUUUGUAUCUCCAUCACAAUUUGUUUCCUCUAAAGGUCCGGGCCCGGGCGCGUGGUCCUCGGUGAACCUCGACCACCCAGCAACAUUCCAGACAUUGGCCAUGGACCUAGAGCUCAAGAAGAAGAUCCUUGACGAUCUCGAUAGGUUCGUGAGGAGGAAGGAGUACUACAGGAGAGUUGGCAAGGCGUAGAAAAGAGGAUACUUAUUGUACGGACCCCCUGGAAUGCGGAAAUCGAGCUUGGUCGCCGCGAUGGCCAAUUACUUAAACUUCGACAUAUACGACCUAGAACUGAGUGAGCUCUGGGGCAAUGCGGACCUCAGGAGAUUGCUCGUCGCCACUGCGAAUCAAUCCAUAUUGGUGGUCGAGGACAACGAUUGCACCAUUCAGUUGCAAGAUAGGAAUUCAGAAACACGCGCCGCCAGCAUAAAUUCGAUGUUAAUCGGUUAUCAGCGAAAAUAUUAAGUACAAUUUCUUCUUUUAUGCUUUCUUUUUAAGUAUGAGGUGUAGUUCAAUUGCUGCAUACUAUGAAUACGAUUUGUACUUGACGUUUAACUCAUGUUUGUACCUACGACAAUAGAUUUUUUUACUGAUGGAAUAUGUGAUGUUGUCUGGAUUUCUCAACUUCAUCGAUGAGCUUUGGUCAAGCUAUGGCAAUAGGCGAAUCAUAGUCUUCACGACAAACCACAUUGAGAAACUAGACCCAACUCUAUUGCACCCGGGGCGCAUGGAUUUGCAUGUUCCCAUUUCCUAUUGCACUCCUUGCGGGUUCAAGCUUCUUGCUUCUAAUUAUCUCGAGAUCGAUCAUCACAAGCUCUUUGACCAGAUCAAGAGCGCAAUCGUGACGGCUAGAGUCACUCUGGUUGAAGUAGCGAAGCAAUUGAUGAAAUGCCACAAAUUGAAGGUUGCUCUCAGGGACAUGAUUUCCUUCCUCACUAAUCACAAGAGGAAAGAAAAUGAAGAAGUCAUCAAGGAGAAAGUUCACCGGUCUCAAUUGAUUGUAGAAAUUGAAGGGAGCGAAGAAGAAAGCAGCAAGGACGAGCCGAUAGAAAAAUAAAUAAUACAUAUUGACUGUAAUGAUAUGUUUCCAUUGAUUUUAUUCAAAUUAUUAAAAAGUUCUUUGUUUUCAACAUGAUGAUAUAUGACAACUAGACUCGUCAUGUUGACGAGUUAGGUCGGUUCGAAUCGGAUCGAAAAAAGUCGGACCCUAAAAUGCAAAUUUGGCAACCCAUGUUCAAUAUGAGUCGAGAUCUACUUUAGCAAUUUUUUUCCCUUAAAUCGUGGUCUUUAAAGAAUAGGUGUCUUCAUGGACCGACUCGUUAAGUUAGUGAGGGAGCUCGGAGUUCAGUUAUAGAUGAUAGUGUUAAAAUGGUGGUGAAAGUCUGGCCUAGGCCAUCCAUAAAUCAUGAAACAGGUUUGGCUUUUGAAGUCAUUUCUAGUAAUUUGUAAAAUUUUAAAUGACCAUACGCAACUAGGCCCAUAGAAAGUGAAUUGAAGAAGGGGUUCACAUCCUUAUAUCUUGCUCUAAUGCAACUCGUCUUUAUGGGCAUAUUAAACUCCUGAACCCAGUAGCUGAUUAGUAAGAUUUUCUCCAAGUCACGAAGAAGGAAUUAUUGGACUUGAGUAGGUCCUUAAAAGUCUCAAGGACAAAGAAACAAGUGGGAAAUUCAUUUUGUAGUAGGAGACUCUACAAUGUCACCUUCAUACUCUCACUCAUUCUAAAAGAAAAGCCUGACUGGGAAUCAAGGGACCUAUCGGUGGUGGAGAUAGACACCACGUUCGUAUAUCUCAGUUCCGUUGAGUAGGAGAGUAUAAUAGCUCCUUAAACCUGAGGUGAGGUAGGGUGGCUUCAAAAGCACUGCUCAAGCCUAUCGACUGGCUGCUCACCUUGUACCCUUCGUUAAUAGGUGAGCACACGCCACAACAGCCGAUGAUUGGCUAUAACUUUUCUCUUCCUCACGCUCACGACAAGUGUAAGCUAAUACCGAAUAAACCCUUUACAAACUAGCUGUGAUUUAACUGGCCGAACCAAUUAUUCAAGUCACCAUCGCUGAAGAUUCCUGUACAACUAAUGGGAAAAUCAGAAGGGGGAAUUCAGAUGGACAUUUCAUCGAGCAUGUGCGCGACAACAUGCAUAUUUCCAAUGGAAGAACCCAUUGCUCAUUCGGUAAAGUAAUUUGGUCGCAAUGAUAGAAGAACAAGCAGCAAAAAUAAACUUUCCGAAUUGAACUAACCACUUGAGCAACUUUUAGAAGAAACACAUAGAAGGGCCAUAUGAAUGCUUUACACAAAACAUAAUUUUAAUGUAAAUUGUGAGUUGGAGUAUGAAUAUGACCCAAAUAGAAACAUUGAAAUAAAUAUGGCAAAAAUGGUUUUCGACAAGCCUCGAUCUUUAAACCCUGCCAAAAUAAAAGAAAAAAUAAUGACUAGUGCUUAACGCACUUGAGUUAAAUCGUCCAACAUUAAUAAAUUGAACGAAAUUUUUGACUACCUUUUGAAAGAUGGCCUAACGAAAUUAACCGAAAACCGUGUAAUUCCAAAUAAAGAAGAUUUAGUAAAAACAAAAAUAUUGCAAGUGACACCAUACCAUAACACUAUUGAUUAACACUAUUGAUUUUGUUAUUUUCAAUAGUUCAAUUAAGUAGGGAAAAAUCAAAUUUGAUGAAUAAUUGAUGACCGUUGAUUAUUUAAUUUGAAAAAUCGAAUGGUUGAUGAAUCAUUCAAUUCUUUAUAAAUGUUGACAUCAAAAAAUGACCAAACUUUUAAUUAUUAUUGACAAAUGAUAAACUCAGUUGAUGGAGACACUAUAUCAAAACGAUCGACAAACUUGAAGAAUAAAAAACACGCUAGUGAACUUUUUGACCACACACAACAUGAAAGUUAUCGAUAGGAGCUCUCAUCUAGACUUGAGAAAUGGAUGGACAAAGUCAUAAGCAAUGAGCAAUCAACAUAAAUAUAACUAUUGGGUAAUUAUAUCUAUUGCCACUAACUUAGGAUUUUUGUUUCUUGCAUAUAAGCAUUGCCGAAUAAAUUCUUAUAAAUAAGUGUUGCAUGGAGUAAAUUCUCAUAAUCGCUAAUAGGAUUUCUAUGAAUUGAAAAGGUAUUGUUCUAUAUUGUCAACAAUGAGCUAUAAAUACCCACAUUAUACUCUUGUAAGGGAUCUCCGUCAAUCAACGAACUCAAGUUUUUUUUUUGCAAAUAAAUCUUUAUCUUACAUAAUCGGUAGAAAUUGCCAACAAUUUCCAUAACUCUAGAUACUGUCAUUUUACUUUUCUAACCAAAAUCAACUAAAGACCUUUCACAAUAUUUGUCGAUUCACUUAGUGAUACCUUUCAAUGAGCCGGAUUCUAAUUAAGAAGGGGUAAGGACAUAUGAGGUCAUCACUUGGGUAAUCGGAUGAGAUUUAUGUCUGAUGUAAUCAUUUAGGCUGCGUUUGGUCGUUCAUAUUUCUAUUAGGAUAUGAAUGGAUUGGAUAAGAUAUGAAAUCCUAAGAUAUUUUUAUAUCCAGUCCAUUGUUUGGUAAAUCGUAGUAUUAAAGUUGGAUAUAUUCACAUCAUAUCAUGUACAUUUUAUUUAUUUAUUUAUGUAAAUGGCAUAUCAUUAUAAAUGAAUCUAAAUGUUCAUAAACAAAGAUGGUGAAAAUCUCUUGUAACAUUAUUCUUUAAUUUAUUUUUAAUUUAUUUUUCCUCUUUUUUAAUUUAUUUUCUUUAUUAUUUCUUUUUUUCCCUUUCAUCAUUAUUUAAUAAAUUUGAUCAAAUAGUAAACUAUACUAACAUACCUAAAAUACAAAAAUACCUAAAAUAUAUAAUAAAUUUAGAUAUUUAAUUUAUAGAUUGAAUGUUUAUUAUAAGAUAGAAUUAAAGUUGAAUACAUAAAUUUAAAUAAGAUUAAUUUAAAAUAAAUUUCUAUUUUUUUCAUUUUUAAUUUCUUAAAUUAGAAUUCAAAUUAUUAUUUAUAUUGAAAUAUAAUUUUAAUUUUGUUAAUUUAAUAGGUUUGUUAUUCGAGAAAAAUUUCUUUUCUAUUAUGGAUAUUAUAAAUUAUAUCCACAUUUAUCACACCUCUUCCAUGAAAUAAUUUUAUCAUGCCUAUAUCCCCCUUAUAUCCGACUUUAUCCUAUUCUGAGUGAGCACCGAAUAUAGGAUAGGAUAAAUCAUAUCCUAUUCCAAAUUUUAUCUUGACUGUCAAACGUAGUCUUAUGGAUUGCCCCUAUGACACAACUGGCUUUUGCAAAAGCAGAGAAAAGUGUCCAACUAACGCCGGUCCUAUUCGCAUCGGUGCAGCGCGAGUCAUGGGGGAAUCGAUAAAUAAAAAUAUUCAAGAUGUACGUGAUUGACAAAAUCGAUACCGCGUUUGGAACCCCAUAACUUUUCUUGUCAAUUAAACUCAACUUUAAUUGCUCUAGCCAAUCAGUAAACAAGUUUAUAUACUGCCGAAUUAAACUAAAAUUGAAUCGGAAUGUGCCGUGGACAAGUGGCCUUUGCCUUAUCAUCUGGUCUCCCCUUCACCCUCUAGAACUGCACAGCAAGAUAUCGAUCUCCCGUUCUCAUAUUCAUCGCCAAUUUCAUCUCUCGAUUCCCUCCGGUCGAGUGCCGUCUAUACCGGAGAGAUUGGACUGGAAAAAGAACGGCGACCCCAGCUCCAGACUACUUCAGUAGCCCUGUUGCGGUGGCCAAGGCAGCACCAUCUGCUGUGGCGUCCGUCACGGCCACUGCGAUGGUGCGGAUUUACAAUAUCAAAUUCGUAAGAAGAAUCAAAUUUUUGUUUUGACAAUUCAAUUAUAUUAUGUAUGAUGGUGCAGUCGGUGGUUCAACCAUUCCUCCCCCGCGAACUCAGGGCUUCCUCUUCUCCGGGAUCCGCAGCUUGCUCUCUUGCUUCUCCAACAAAAUGACGAUCGUCAUCGACGAGUAUGAUGUGAUUAACCCAAACGAGCUCUUCCAGGCAGCCCGGGUGUUCUUGCCUGCCAAGCAAUUCCUUUCGAUGAGGUGAGUCCCAAUGACCAAGCCCGCGAAGGAGGACGGCUUAACUCUGGCUAUGGACCGAAAUCAAAUGCCGGUGGAUACGUUUUGUGGGAUCAAACUCAAGUGGGUUUUUGCGUUGAGACGGGCAACCGAGGCCUGAACUCGCCGCCGCCGCAGGAAGUUCAGUAGCUCACUUUUCACAAGAAACAUGAGGAGGUCGUCCGCAAGUCCUACCUGCCUUUCCUCGUCAGUGAGGCCAAGUCCAUAAGGCAGGAGAACAAGGCAUUGAAGCUAUACACUGCGAUCUUCGACCGCGGCUAUGGCAGUAAUUAUGGUCGAACAUUAAGUUGGAAUCAACGAAACCAUCAGUAACUACUUUCAGUUCUACUAUUAGAAGUGUGGAAAGGAGUAAAAUACUAAAUUUACAAAAGUUUUCAAUUAAGUCAGAUUGGCCAAAAAAGACAGAAGAACACUAGGAGUACUAGAACUUUUGUACAAUACUCACUUUAGUACCAAAACUUUUUUUUUUUUCGCUCAAUUGAGUAUCACAUCAGAGUAAAAUUGAACACUUAAAUGCUAAUUCCAACAAAUCAUCCUACUUGGAUUUUUUUGAUUUUAUUUUGAUUUUGCUUUUUGUUUUUUUUUUUUGGCUUUUUUCCUUUAGGGUUGGUGAGGGUCACCGAUAACUCUCGUCAACUGCAAAACCCUCACCCUCAGUUGCAAAGGCCCUGGGCAAGGUCAUCGAGGCCUCACUCGUAGCCGGCAAGGUCGCGAUGCCCUCGCAAGCUUUGGGUGGCGUCACCUAUAGUCAGUGAGUUUGUGACACCCUUGCCUAGGGCCUUUGCGGUGAGGGUGAAGUGGCCCUCUCCAAGAUCUGGUCGUGAGGGCCCUAGGCGAGGACAUCGUGAUCUCACUGAUCCUAGGUAAGGUGAUGUUGCUUGCGACUGCCUAGAGCUAGCAAGGGCCCUUGUGGCCUCGCCAGUAGCCAGCGAGGCCUCAAUGGCCUCGCGCAAGGACUUCAUGGCUGAGGGUGAGGGGUUCAUUGUUGGUGAGGGUCAUAGGUGACCCUCAUUGGCCCUAAAAAAAGGAAGCAAAAAUUAAAAAUUAAAAAUUAAAAAUAUUGAAAAUAUAAAAAAAUUGUCCACAUCAUACCAGUGAAGCCAUGUUAGACAACUUUUAUCGUCACGUUGGAUGGCUGGUGUCCAUGAGGCAAAUUGGAAUUAGUACUCAAGUGAUCAAUUUUUUCAAAUUUGUGACAUUUAAGUAAGUGAAAUGUUUUUGAUACUUAAUUGAACACUAUACGAAAGUUUUGGCAGUUCUGAUAUCUUUAUUCAGGUCGAAAAAUAGGUACUUGCUACAGUAAUGUUUUUUUUUUUUUUUUUGUGCCAGAGGAACCGCUUUGGCCGACAGCCGCCACGUAAACCCCCAGAUGACGCUAGCCCAUGACCCACCACCAGGACGUCACACGUAAUACACCUAAUGGUCUGCCAGCCUCCCUGCAACUUGCGUUGCAGGGGUUUUGAACACCUGACCUUUCCCUUCAAAGGCAGGAGCCUACCUAGCAGAGCCACCACGGCCGGUGGUUUGCUACAGUAAUGUUCAUACGCAGUAUCCCAGAAAACAUCAAGGUCAACAUCCACUAGAACCGGUCUUGGACCUUCUUAUCUCCUAAAAUUCUGCUCUCACUUUCUUCAACAGAAAACUGAAUGUUGAAUCUCCAUCACAAAUUUUUCCCUCCGCAUGUCCUUUCUUAGGUGUGUGGGCCCCGGUGAAUCUCGACCACUUGGCGACAUUCGAGACUCUGGCCAUGGACCUGGAGCUCAGGAAGAUGCUCAUCGACAAUCUCGAGAGGUUUAUGACAAGGAAGGAGCACCACAAGAGAGUCGGCAAGGUGUGGAAAAGAGGGUCUUAUUGUGCGGACUUCGGCACAGGGAAAUCAAGCCUGGUCGCGAGGAUGGCCAAUCACUUGAAACUCGACAUAUACCAUUAGAGCUGAGCGGACUCCGGAGCAAUGCGGACCUCAGGAGGCUGCUCAUCAACACUGGAAUCAGUCCAUAGUGGUGGUGAAGGACAUCGGUUGCACCAUGAUGUUGCAAGAUAGGAUGUUAGAAACCCAAGCGACACGCAUGGAUAUUACGUCAACGCGUCUUUUUUGCAAGAAAAUCAAGUACGAUCUUCUUUUUAUUUAGCAUAAGCUUUAGUUCAAUUGUUUCGUAGUGUGCAUAUUAUCUGUCUUUGACAUUUAACUUAAGUUUGUCAUUACAACUUUAACUUUUUACAUGGAAGAGGUGACAUUGUCGAGAUUCCUCAACUUCAUCGAUGGCUUUGGUCAAAUUGCGGCAAUGAGCGGAUCAUAGUCUUCAUGAUGAACCACAUGGAGAAAUUGAACUCAACCCUGUUGCGCCCAGUUUGCAUGAACCUGCACAUUCCUAUGCCUUAUUGCACCUUGUGCGGGUUCAAGCUUCUUAUUUUUAAUUAUCUUGGGAUCGAUAGCUGUGAGCUCUUCGACCAUAUUGAGAGUUUGUUCGAGACAACUAGAAUUGCUCUUGCCGAAGUAGUGGAGCAGUUGUUGAAGAGCGACGAACAAGAGGUCACUCUCAGGGACAUGGUUUCCUUCCUAGUUAAUCACAAUAGGGAAAAUAAUUAAGAAGUCAUUUAGGAGAAAGUAUGUCAGUGCCAAUUGGUCGAAAAAAUGGAUGGAGUGAAAAGGAAAGCAGAGGUUACGAACUAACUGAAAAAUAGAUAAGAGAUAAGGAUUGUGCCGUCCAUCGAUUUUAAUUAGAUUAUUAUAGAUUUUUUUUUUUUUGUAUAAAGAAAGAUGAUAUGUGUGACAACAUUGGAAAUUACAAUUUAACUUGGUUUACUUGCCUUAAUAUCUUUCUUUGAUUGUUAUCAACCUUGGCCAAUUGGACCUAAGUAGGUCUUUAAAAGGCUCAUGGAGGAAACAAGCGGAAAAACCGCCCUGGGGUGAGAGACCUCGCGCUGUCCUCCUAUUUUCUCUCUAUCGGGAAGACACAAAUAGAUAGAGAAUUAUGGAGCCUCAUGCUGGUGAAAGUAGACACCAUGCCAGGAUUUCAGUUCUGGCUACUACCAGAUAGGCAGGUAAAGUAGCUUCUGAUGCCUGGAGUGAGGGAGGGUAGGUUAAAUGCCUACAGUUGGGUUGACAUGCCUUAGGGCACUGUCCUUAACCAUAGGUUGACCCAGUUAUCCCGGUUGAGGACAACGCUAUUCCCCCGGCCGUGAGAUUGCAACUUGUUUUGAAGAUCCAAUAGAUCUUAAACAUAGGCAAUACUUGAGAGAAUCGCUGAUUUUUAUGUAGUAAUUUUUCAAUUCUAACAUGAAGUAAAAUUUACGAUAAGAUGCGUGGACAUUUCACCGAAAAAAGUAAUUAUUAUUUUUUUUGGUGGAAAUGUAAUUAAUUUACUCAGUAUCAACCAUGGAAUGCUAAUGUAUUGAAAUGAAAGUUCUUAAUUCAUCUAGCCUAAUUUAUUGAAUCUCUCUGAUGCAAUAGCUUCAUAAGAAAUUGAAUCAAGAGGAUUCGAUUCCUUUAUACCAAUGUGUCAGGGAGAAAGUAUUCUACAUUGUUCGUCUUUCCUCAAAAAAAUUAAGAGGUAUUCUAGGAUGAGAGUGUGUUUUGUAUCCUCAGCGUACACUUUGUCGACUUUCCUGUCACUGUCACUGCGGUAUCUUGUUCCCCCUGCAUCUCCCACAGGACCUCUUUCGUUUUCUUCCUCUGUUAUGCAACAACCGUUUCCAGUCCCCUUGGAUCCUAGCAGAGCAGCAUCUGACGGAGACAGCACAGAACUCAUAUGCCUUAAUCUGUCAUUGUCAAGAAGAAUAUGUCUUCUUCUCGUCCCAGGAUUUCCUCUGCUAGAAUGAACUGCUUCCCAUGAUACGGUUUCGCCUUCGAAAAGGAUGAACCUUCCAUGCAGGUAAUCAUUUUCAGAUCCAUUCAGCCAGUCUACAGUAGCAUUCUCCUCCAGGAAGUUGGCAGCAGUUCCAGGAGUUAAUCUCUUCUCGUGGUUGGCCUCACCGCAAUCUCUUCUCGUGGUUGGCCUCACCGCCAGCACAGUCUCAAAUCCUUUCCCAGUUCUUCUUCGGAUGGAAUCUACUGCUGUUCAAUCAGUACCUAGAAAAUCCUUUUUCUGGCCUCCCCAGCUCAAGGGACAAGUCAACCAGCGAUGAUAGCGAGGGCCAUCGAGAGAACUUACCACAUGCAGCGAUGCUUGACAUCAUGUUCAAUCUUUUAAGCUCAGCUUCUGAAGUUAAGAUAUGCUCCUUUCCACUGCUUUCUAAGUUAUAAUCCGUAGCGCUCAAUCCACUCUGGCGAUCAAGGUAUAUUAUCGUUCAUUAGUACUGUUGUAGCAUGUAGAAACGUGCCUUAAAACUCUUGCCUUGAUUCUGAUGCCAUCGUUAAUCCACAGCACAGAAAUCAGCAAAAACAUACAUGGAAGAUUCAAGAUGCCCACUAAUUUAUAUCCGAUGAGGUGAUUUUGUAAAUAGUUUUCUACAAGAAAAGCCAAUGACAGAAUGAAUUUUGCAUCAAGAUUUCUCCGGCUUUUGCACAUGCCUUCUAUUCACAUGCAUUAUCCAUUAGUUCAUCCAGAGAUAAUUCUAGGCCUACCAUCUAUAUGUGGAUGAAUUCUCCUGGCGCAUGCCUAAUCUCACGUGCAAAUGUAUGUACAGCGCAUCCCCAUUAGAACGCCCAUCAUUAUCAAUAUUGGCAAAGAGGGACCUGUAGCACCUCUAGAUUGUCAAACAGAACGAAAAGUUCACUGCAACCGUAUGACAUAAUCAGAAAAAGAUGACUAUGGAAGGGGAAGGAUGAAGGCAAAGACACAGAUGACUAUCAGCUGCACUCGGAUGCGCUGAACCAAUCACUAUGGUCCAGAGGAGAAGGCAGAAGCAGUCCCAGAAGAGUGAGAGAAACCAUCAUUCAUCAGUGGAGAAUGUAAUCUCCGCUCCCUCUGCAAAUUCUUGAUUAACUGAAUCUAACAGAUUCACAGCCAUCUGUACCUGGAGACACCUCUUCCGGAGAGACUAUUUCACCUGGACAAUGAACCAGUCAUACCCUUAUCAACAGGCUGAAUCUUGACGUACAUAAUAGGUUGAGCCAUAUUCUUAAAGUUCCUAUUGCAAUUCUUUCAAUAACACAAGAAAAAAAAAUCACAGAUUUAAGGAAGAAGAUGAAAUUGGUUGUUGUACAGUAGAGAUAAUUAAGGAAUGUCGUGCAUUUUUUAGUGGAGAGUGGGGUAGGUAACUUCUUGCUUUCUACAAUUUUAUCUAUUUUCUUUAGCCAAAUUUCACUUCUUCUUUUUUUCCUCUCUUUAACACUUAAUUGCAUUAUAAUAUUAAAAGAACGUGAAGACGAGGGAAAACUGAGAAACUUACGGUAAGAUAAACUGAUGUUUUAGCCCGUAUUUAUUGAUAUUCAUACCCUUUUCUUCAUGGCACUAUCGUUACGGGGGAGAAUUAUGAAAAAAGUCAUAAAUCUAUUAUAAUCAUGCCAAUUCAGUCAUAAUUUUUUUGGGGUCAAUUUGGUCCUAAACCUUUUUACAAUUGUGCCAAUUAAGUUCAUUUGGCCAAAAUUGGCCGACCGACACUGACGUGGAUACCGGCCGAUGGACGCUGAUGUGGCAAUUUUUUGAUAUAUAUAUUUUUUUAAAUUUUGAAUUUUUUUUUGCUUUUUUUCCCCUUCAUCUCCUUCCUUUGGCCGGUCAACAUCGGCUAGAGGCGAGGGCUGGUGAGGUUUGGUGAGGUAGUUGACCUCGCUAGUGGCCGGCAAGGCGGCCGUCGCCAAAUUUAGCGAGGCUCGACCUUGCCAUGGUUGGGUGAGGCCGAGCCUUACCAGUCUUGCCCCUUCUUAUCUACUAUUAUUCUGCUCUCAAUUUCUUCAUCAGAAAACUGAAUUUUGUAUCUGCAUCACAUAUUUUUUUUCCUCUACAGGUCCUCUCUCAGAUGCGUGGGCCUCUGUGAACCUCGACCACCCGGCGACAUUCGGGACACUGGCCAUGGACCUAGAGC
rnacentral:lncRNA from 1 species